rnacentral:rRNA from 1 species
CAGUAGCCGCGGGAAUACGGAGGGUGUAAGCGUUAAUCGGAAUUACUGGGCGUAAAGCGUGCGUAGGCGGUUCGUUAAGUCUGUUGUGAAAGCCCCGGGCUCAACCUGGGAAUGGCAAUGGAUACUGGCGAGCUAGAGUGUGUCAGAGGAUGGUGGAAUUCCCGGUGUAGCGGUGAAAUGCGUAGAGAUCGGGAGGAACAUCAGUGGCGAAGGCGGCCAUCUGGGACAACACUGACGCUGGGGCACGAAAGCGUGGGGAGCAAACAGGAUUAGAUACCCGAGUAGUCCCUGUCUCUUAUAC